GGCAGAACCCAGAUUUAAACCUGCGCCCAGAGCAUUGAAGGAAGCUUGGGUUGAUUCCUGCCAGACCUGAACAAUCUUGUACCUCAGCAUCCAGCCUUUAUAUGUUUUCAAGCCGGGCACAGCACAAGCUGAUUAGUUAGAGUCUAUCAAGGUGCUGACAAUAAAGGACUUUGCUGGGGUUUUGUGUCUGCCUGACUCAACCAUUCUCAGCAUGUUUUUUUUUCCAGAAAGAGGCUGAAAGAGGAGAAACAUCAUAGCACUACUACACUGAUGAUGAAGCUUGCCCUUUGCAUGGUGCUCCCAUGUGGUGGCUGAGGACACUAACCUGGGUCCUCAAGUA